rnacentral:rRNA from 1 species
AUGAACCCGGUACUCCGAUGCCCGCACAGCGCACCGAAUCAUACCAUGCCAUGCCAGCCGGUCGAUGCCGACGUUGACCCGUCAGCCCGGCCGGGCAUUGGUUCGGCAAUUCGGCACGUUGCGCCGGCCGGCGCUGCGGGGCUGCGGGCGAUCGAUGGACACAAUCAUGGCGCGCUCACGUCGCGCGCUGGUCCAUCCCCGCCGGGGGCCCUGGCCGCCGGGCGCACGUCGAUCGGGUGCGCUGUGCCGGUGCCAUCGCCGGCCGUGGACACGGACGGACGGAUGCACGGACCACCGCGGUGUCGCGGACGCGGUCGUCGGUGGCUACGUGCGUACGCGCGGCAUGGAGGGCUCCUCGGUCGGCCGGCCCGUCGUGCGGGCAACGUGCGCGUGUGCGGGUGUGCGGGAGGGCGUGUGGGCCGCGCCCGGCGGUGGCGAGGGGAUGGAACGGGGAUAGAGGAGCCAGGGUGGCAGGCUUUGGCCUCGGGCUGUCUCGCCGCGAUCCGCUCCGCUCGGCGAGACGGUGACGGUGAUGGAUGGGCGGGCGAGCUGAUUGAUCGGGGGCCUUUUCAUGCAGGUGGCGUUACGUCCGUCCCGGCUACAUGCUGGAUGGAUGGACGGAUGGAACUUACUUUACUUGCAGCAGCGCGGUCGGCUUUGAUUCGAUAG